rnacentral:rRNA from 1 species
CACACCGCCCGUCACACCAUGGGACGCGGGGUGCACCAGAAGUAGGUAGGCUAACCUGAGGGUAACUGAGGGGGGCCGUUUACCACGGUGGCGCUUCGUGACUGGGGUG